ACUAAGUGGCAGCGUGGUGACUGAAGGCUCAACCCCUCGAGGUCCUUCCCCUUCCAUGCUCACCUCUCACUGUAAACUGGGCUCCUUGCGGUCCAGGGAGGAAGUGGACAUGAUGUGCGAGCAGACGAAAGUAUCCUGAGCUAUCAAGGCCACUGCAAACGGGGAGGAGGACGCACAGUGAGAUGCUGUGGAAGAAGGGGAUUCAAAACAACACAGCCAUGGCCUUGUACCCUGGAUGCCAGACUCUGCACACAGGGGAUGAGGCCAGUGACCUUGUCCACAUCCUGCAGCACCCUCAGUGAUGGGUUUCCUACAGCUCACUUUAUGGGAGAGGUGUCCCUCGAUAUGUUUCUCUCCCUCUGUCUGCUGUGGGUUUCUCUGUUAAAGCUGAGGGUAUUCUUAACCUUCGCUCUUGUGGAGUAAGAGCUCUUCUUCAUGCUCCAUCUGCUGUCUCUUAGGACUCCUUGGGCCGUGGUGUCCAAGACUUUCCCCUUCCUCACUGGAGGCAUCCAAGAUCAGAGAAGUGUCUGCUUUCUGCUUCUGCCCCUUGGGGAUUGAAGUCUUUGGGGAUGACAGUGCCUAAUCUUCUCCUGUCCUCAGU
rnacentral:lncRNA from 1 species